AACGAACGCUGGCGGCAGGCCUAACACAUGCAAGUCGAGCGCGCCCUUCGGGGUGAGCGGCGGACGGGUGAGUAACGCGUGGGAACGUGCCCUUCUCUGCGGAAUAGCCUCGGGAAACUGAGAGUAAUACCGCAUACGCCCUUUGGGGGAAAGAUUUAUCGGAGAAGGAUCGGCCCGCGUUGGAUUAGGUAGUUGGUGGGGUAAUGGCCCACCAAGCCGACGAUCCAUAGCUGGUUUGAGAGGAUGAUCAGCCACACUGGGACUGAGACACGGCCCAGCCUCCUACGGGAGGCAGCAGUGGGGAAUCUUAGACAAUGGGGGCAAACCUGAUCUAGCCAUGCCGCGUGAGUGAUGAAGGCCUUAGGGUUGUAAAGCUCUUUCAGCUGGGAAGAUAAUGACGGUACCAGCAGAAGAAGCCCCGGCUAACUCCGUG
rnacentral:rRNA from 1 species